AUGCGUAGAGAUCUGGAGGAAUACCGGUGGCGAAGGCGGCCCCCUGGACGAAGACUGACGCUCAGGUGCGAAAGCGUGGGNAGCAAACAGGAUUAGAUACCCUGGUAGUCCACGCCGUAAACGAUGUCGACUUGGAGGUUGUGCCCUUGAGGCGUGGCUUCCGGAGCUAACGCGUUAAGUCGACCGCCUGGGGAGUACGGCCGCAAGGUUAAAACUCAAAUGAAUUGACGGGGGCCCGCACAAGCGGUGGAGCAUGUGGUUUAAUUCGAUGCAACGCGAAGAACCUUACCUGGUCUUGACAUCCACGGAAGUUUUCAGAGAUGAGAAUGUGCCUUCGGGAACCGUGAGACAGGUGCUGCAUGGCUGUCGUCAGCUCGUGUUGUGAAAUGUUGGGUUAGUCCCGCAACGAGCGCAACCCUUAUCCUUUGUUGCCAGCGGUCCGGCCGGGAACUCAAAGGAGACUGCCAGUGAUAAACUGGAGGAAGGUGGGGAUGACGUCAAGUCAUCAUGGCCCUUACGACCAGGGCUACACACGUGCUACAAUGGCGCAUACAAAGAGAAGCGACCUCGCGAGAGCAAGCGGACCUCAUAAAGUGCGUCGUAGUCCGGAUUGGAGUCUGCAACUCGACUCCAUGAAGUCGGAAUCGCUAGUAAUCGUGGAUCAGAAUGCCACGGUGAAUACGUUCCCGGGCCUUGUACACACCGCCCGUCACACCAUGGGAGUGGGUUGCAAAAGAAGUAGGUAGCUUAACCUUCGGGAGGGCGCUUACCACUUUGUGAUUCAUGACUGGGGUGAAGUCGUAACAAGGUAACCGUAGGGGAACCUGCGGUUGGAUCACCUCCUUACCUUAAAGAAGC
rnacentral:rRNA from 1 species